CCCUGAAUAUAGGUCCCGAGUUCCACAGAAACAAGAAGUAAUCGAACUCACUCCCCAAUGCCAACAAAAAAAAACAGGAGUGAUAGCCGCUUUCAACCUGAUUACACUUUUGAAUUCUUUCGUAAACUGUCAAAAUCCGGAGAAAACAACAAAAAAAGCUUUCCGUCCAUUUUCAUCAUUUCCUUCUUCUAUCUGGGGGAAAAUUUCUAAAAAGCAGCAGAAAAGGAAUAAAAGGAAGAGCAUCAUAAAUCUUGCAAGAGGAUGGAAAGCCUCACCUCUGGAUUCUCCAUUCGGUGUAUGGUAUCACUGUCUGGAAAUUUAUACCGCAGCGGAACUGCUGCAAUAACAUCUUCCCCAGGACCUUUUUGUCUGCGGGAUUUCUUGAAGACAUUCAGCUGAUGGAGCUUGGAAGCAGGACCAUGUCUGGAGUUGAAAUGGUCUUAUUGCUACAGAUUUAAAGCUGUGUCAUCCAGAGGCUUUGAUGUCUUGCCGUAGUCUGCAAUCUGCGCUUACGGGGAUUUUACUGGCUAUUGCGGUGGGAUCUCCCUUCCAGCUUUUAUACACUCUACAACUUUAGUGUCUGGUCUUCAAAUUGCAGGCAUUGAAAAGAGGCUUCCCAGAGUGACUCCCAGUGUCUGUAAUAUUUCAAGCAGCUUCUCACCAAGCUGGGAAGAUGACUCCAAGCGAACGAAGGAAGCAAUUUUGAAGUCCUAUCUAGGAUUCAGAGUUUGCAUCGAUUCCGCUCCCUUCGACAACAUGCGAUAGAUGUCCAGUCAAUUGCUGCAUCGGGUCAUAUCCAAAGAUGGCAUUCCCAUUGCCACAUACAAUUUGGCAAAGCGAGCUCUUACGAUGUAUAACCCAGUUCCCAAAGGGCUUCUCCAGUUGUUUGAUCUUUGUUUUGCUCACACCUUUCUAGGAUUAUUCAAUUUUUUUUGUAUAACUGCGGUGUCUGGAGUUUCAACCGACUAAUACUCAGGUACAUGUAGUCUCUGGUCUCACGUAUACAAGACCCAAGUCCUAGGGGUAGCAAGUUCAAAGGGGAUUGAAGGAGGACCAACUAUUUGUCUGCUCCCUUUGAGAUUUGAACUUUGAGACUUCGUAAAGAAUAAUCUCAAAUUAUGUCUCCUGACUAGCUCGAGUGAUUUAGCUCCUUUCUAGUUGAUUGUGUACUGGUUAUUGCCAUAUUGUUUCUAGUUGAUCUUGUUUCAGAUGGACUAUAUAUGUUCUUUGCUUCAUCGAAUGAAAAAAAUUUGAUUUCU